rnacentral:rRNA from 1 species
AGUGAACGCUGGCGGCAGGCCUAAUACAUGCAAGUCGAACGGCAGCACAGCAGAGCUUGCUCUGUGGGUGGCGAGUGGCGGACGGGUGAGGAAUACGUGGGAAUCUGCCCAGUCGUGGGGGAUAACGUAGGGAAACUUACGCUAAUACCGCAUGCGCCCUUUGGGGGAAAGCCGGGGAUCUUCGGACCUGGCGCGAUUGGAGUAGCCCGAGUCGGAUUAGCUAGUUGGAGGGGUAAAGGCCCAACAAGGCGACGAUCCGUAGCUGGUCUGAGAGGAUGAUCAGCCACACUGGAACUGAGACACGGUCCAGACUCCUACGGGAGGCAGCAGUAGGGAAUAUUGGACAAUGGGCGCAAGCCUGAUCCAGCCAUGCCGCGUGAGUGAAGAAGGCCCUCGGGUUGUAAAGCUCUUUUGUUGGGGAAGAAAAGCCUUGGGUUAAUACCCUGAGGUUCUGACGGUACCCAAAGAAUAAGCACCGGCUAACUUCGUGCCAGCAGCCGCGGUAA